rnacentral:tRNA from 1 species
GCGGGCAUAGCUCAGUUGGUAGAGCGCGACCUUGCCAAGGUCGAGGUCGAGGGUUCGAACCCCUUUGCCCGCUCCA